UAGGGAAUCUUCCGCAAUGGGCGAAAGCCUGACGGAGCAACGCCGCGUGAGUGAUGAAGGUCUUCGGAUCGUAAAACUCUGUUAUUAGGGAAGAACAAAUGUGUAAGUAACUAUGCACGUCUUGACGGUACCUAAUCAGAAAGCCACGGCUAACUACGUGCCAGCAGCCGCGGUAAUACGUAGGUGGCAAGCGUUAUCCGGAAUUAUUGGGCGUAAAGCGCGCGUAGGCGGUUUUUUAAGUCUGAUGUGAAAGCCCACGGCGCAACCGUGGAGGGUCAUUGGAAACUGGAAAACUUGAGUGCAGAAGAGGAAAGGGGAAUUCCAGGUGUGGGAGUGAAAUGCGCAGAGAUAUGGAGGAACACCAGUGGCGAGGGCGACUUUCUGGUCUGUAACUGACGCUGAUGUGCGAAAGCGUGGGGAUCAAACAGG
rnacentral:rRNA from 1 species